ACCAUGAGAAUUUAGCUUUCGUUGAAUAACAUAAUGCUCCUUAGUGGGGGAGAACUCGGAAAAGAAAAGGGGUAAACAUAGAAAAUAUGGAAAAUAUUAGGUUGUUUAGGCAAGAGAGUGAGGGGAGUUGGACAGCACCUCAUAAUACUGUAGCAAUCAAGAGAUGUACAAAAAAUUCAAGCAAAUUAAAUAAAAAAUAGUUGAAACUACUAGUACAUGUGUUUAUUUUUUUUGGACAAGCACAGACAAACUGCAAGCCCAACAUGGGUUAUGGGGUGUAAAGUUUUCUAGAGAAGUAUGAUUUACUUGACCAAAUGUCCCAUGCCUCUUUCCAGAAGUCCCUCUAGUUGGUAACUGCCCUAAUCAUUCUUUAAUAUUUACAGUUUACGGAUAUAAAAUUAAAAACUUCAGGUAUCUCUAGUGAUGUAGUUGCUGCCCAAUUUCUUGCUAUAAAAGGACCACUAGAGUGCCAGGAAAACCACCUAUGCCAAUAGUUAAUAGGUUCCCCCAACCCUCAUAACCCCCUCCCGCCGGGGUUAAGGGGUUAAGCUCUUACCGUUUUCCAGUGCCAGGCUCCUUCUGCGCUGGGGACUCUCCUCCCUCUUCC